rnacentral:misc_RNA from 1 species
AACGCAUAUUGCGCUCUUUGGUAUUCCGAAGAGCAUGCUUGUUUGAGUAUCAGUAAACACCUCAAAGCCUUUUUUUGUUAAGAGACUUUGGACUUGAGCAAUCCCAACACUUCUUUUUUUUAGAAGGGGCGGGUUGCUUGAAAUGCAGGUGCAGCUGGACAUUCUCCUGAGCUAAAAGCAUAUUCAUUUAGUCCCGUCAAACGGAUUAUUACUUUUUGCUGCAGCUAAUAUAAAGGGAGUUUGACCAUUUUGGCUGACUGAUGCAGGAUUUUCACAAGAGUCUUCAAACCACUCUUGUUAAACUCGAUCUCAAAUCAAGUAAGACUACCCGCUGAACUUAA